AGUGAACGCUGGCGGUAGGCCUAACACAUGCAAGUCGAACGGCAGCACAGUAAGAGCUUGCUCUUACGGGUGGCGAGUGGCGGACGGGUGAGGAAUACAUCGGAAUCUACUUUUUCGUGGGGGAUAACGUAGGGAAACUUACGCUAAUACCGCAUACGACCUACGGGUGAAAGCAGGGGAUCUUCGGACCUUGCGCGAUUGAAUGAGCCGAUGUCGGAUUAGCUAGUUGUCGGGGUAAAGGCUCACCAAGGCGACGAUCCGUAGCUGGUCUGAGAGGAUGAUCAGCCACACUGGAACUGAGACACGGUCCAGACUCCUACGGGAGGCAGCAGUGGGGAAUAUUGGACAAUGGGCGCAAGCCUGAUCCAGCCAUACCGCGUGGGUGAAGAAGGCCUUCGGGUUGUAAAGCCCUUUUGUUGGGAAAGAAAAGCAGCAGGUUAAUACCCCGCUGUUCUGACGGUACCCAAAGAAUAAGCACCGGCUAACUUCGUG
rnacentral:rRNA from 1 species